UGGGGGAUAUUGCACAAUGGGCGAAAGCCUGAUGCAGCGACGCCGCGUGGGGGAUGAAGGCUUUCGGUAGGUAAAGCUCUAUCAGCAGGGAAGAAAAUGACGGUACCUGACUAAGAAGCCCCGGCUAACUACGUGCCAGCAGCCGCGGUAAUACGUAGGGGGCAAGCGUUAUCCGGAUUUACUGGGUGUAAAGGGAGCGUAGACGGCGAAGCAAGUCUGAAGUGAAAACCCAGGGCUCAACCCUGGGACUGCUUUGGAAACUGUUUUGCUAGAGUGUCGGAGAGGUAAGUGGAAUUCCUAGUGUAGCGGUGAAAUGCGUAGAUAUUAGGAGGAACACCAGUGGCGAAGGCGGCUUACUGGACGAUAACUGACGUUGAGGCUCGAAAGCGUGGGGAGCAAACAGG
rnacentral:rRNA from 1 species